rnacentral:rRNA from 1 species
GAUGAACGCUGGCGGCGUGCCUAAUACAUGCAAGUCGAGCGAACAGACGAGGAGCUUGCUCCUCUGACGUUAGCGGCGGACGGGUGGGUAACACGUGGAUAACCUACCUAUAAGACUGGGAUAACUUCGGGAAACCGGAGCUAAUACCGGAUAAUAUAUUGAACCGCAUGGUUCAAUAGUGAAAGACGGUUUUGCUGUCACUUAUAGAUGGAUCCGCGCCGCAUUAGCUAGUUGGUAAGGUAACGGCUUACCAAGGCGACGAUGCGUAGCCGACCUGAGAGGGUGAUCGGCCACACUGGAACUGAGACACGGUCCAGACUCCUACGGGAGGCAGCAGUAGGGAAUCUUCCGCAAUGGGCGAAAGCCUGACGGAGCAACGCCGCGUGAGUGAUGAAGGUCUUCGGAUCGUAAAACUCUGUUAUUAGGGAAGAACAAAUGUGUAAGUAACUAUGCACGUCUUGACGGUACCUAAUCAGAAAGCCACGGCUAACUACGU